rnacentral:rRNA from 1 species
GACGAACGCUGGCGGCGUGCUUAACACAUGCAAGUCGAACGGAAAGGCCCUGCUUUUGCGGGGUGCUCGAGUGGCGAACGGGUGAGUAACACGCGAGUAACCUGCCCUUGACUUUGGGAUAACUUUAGGAAACUGGGGCUAAUAUCGGAUAGGAGCUCCUGCUGCAUGGUGGGGGUUGGAAAGUUUCGGCGGUUGGGGAUGGACUCGCGGGUUAUCAGCUUGUUGGUGGGGUAGUGGCUUACCAAGGCUUUGACGGGUAGCCGGCCUGAGAGGGUGACCGGCCACAAGAGGACUAAGAUACGGCCCAGACGCCUACGGGAGGCAGCAGGGGGGAAUAUGGCACAAUGGGCGGAAGCCUGAUGCAGCAACGCCGCGUGCGGGAUGACGGCCUUCGGGUUGUAAACCGCUUUCGCCGGUGACGAAGCGUGAGUGACGGUAAUGGGUAAAGAAGCACCGGCUAACUACGUG